rnacentral:sRNA from 12 species
GAAAUAAGAAACUCGGGACAAAUCCCAGUGGGAAAGUUCCUCGGAACUACCGAGACUUCUAACC